GGAGUCUGGGCCGUAUCUCAGUCCCAAUGUGGCCGAUCACCCUCUCAGGCCGGCUACCGAUCGUCGCCUUGGUGGGCCGUUGCCCCGCCAACUAGCUAAUCGGACGCAAGCUCAUCCCGUACCGAUAAAUCUCUAGUCAAGAACCCAUGCAGGUUCCCACUCUCCUGGACAUUAACCGCGCGUUGGCACGGGUAUUUCCUGAUACGGGGCAGAUUGCUUACGCGUUACUCACCCGUUCGCCGCUCGGCAUUGCUGCCUCGCUCGACUUGCAUGUAUAAGACACGCCACCAGCGUUCGUU
rnacentral:rRNA from 1 species